CCUACGGGAGGCAGCAGUGGGGAAUAUUGGGCAAUGGGGGGAACCCUGAUCCAGCGACGCCGCGUGAGUGAAGAAGUAUUUCGGUAUGUAAAGCUCUAUCAGCAGGGAAGAAAGAAAUGACGUUCCCUUUCUAUAAAGCCCGGGCUACCUACGUGCCAGCAGCCGCGGUAAUACGGAGGGGGCAAGCGUUAUCCGGAUUUACUGGGUGUAAAGGGAGCGUGGCCGGCGAUGCAAGUCUGAAGUGAAAGGCGGGGGCCCAACCCCCGGACUGCUUUGGAAACUGUAUGGCUGGAGUGCAGGAGAGGUAAGUGGAAUUCCUAGUGUAGCGGUGAAAUGCGUAGAUAUUAGGAGGAACACCAGUGGCGAAGGCGGCUGACUGGACGGUAACUGACGUUGAGGCUCGAAAGCGUGGGGAGCAAACAGGAUUAGAUACCCUUGUAGUC
rnacentral:rRNA from 1 species